rnacentral:rRNA from 1 species
UGGCGAACGGGUGAGUAACACGUGAGUAACCUGCCCUUGACUUUGGGAUAACUUCAGGAAACUGGGGCUAAUACCGGAUAGGAGCUCCUGCUGCAUGGUGGGGGUUGGAAAGUUUCGGCGGUUGGGGAUGGACUCGCGGCUUAUCAGCUUGUUGGUGGGGUAGUGGCUUACCAAGGCUUUGACGGGUAGCCGGCCUGAGAGGGUGACCAGCCACAUUGGGACUGAGAUACGGCCCAG